rnacentral:lncRNA from 1 species
CAAAGGCACCCUAUUUCACUGAAAUGCCUUCUAUAUUCCGUACCCUCCAAGUGGAUUGUAGACCUUCUAAGGUCUUUUGACAUCUGCGUAUCUCUAGCACAGCACUUAUCACGGUGAUUAUUUAUCUGUUCAUCUUUCCAAGUAGACACUCUCAUUUUAACUCCCUACCCUAGUCGCCAGCAUCCCCAGCAUAGUGCCUGUCAUAAAAUGGUGCCACAAUGAAAAUUUGAAAAAUGAAUGAAUUGAACGUGAUAAACAUAGAUGAGAAUCCUAUAUUCUAUAAUUUUUUAAAUGUACUGAAAUUAUUCUUUUUGAAUCCUAUUCAUUUCUGUGACUUCUUUGGUGACAAAGUUAGAAAAAAGUGGAGGUCAGUAGGGAGAUAUGAAGGGACGCCGGUGGAAGCAGUGAGCCUGGGCGGGUGAUGGAGUGGGAGAUACGUGGCACAGGGGUCAGUUGAGUUAAUCUGGGCUCAUUCAGAGAAUGGAAGGUGUGUGCCAAGAAAACUGGUUGGAUAGGGAUAGGUCAGGGAUUCCCUCUUGCAUUCUCACACUUGGGGGCAGGCGUCAUUUUCUUUUCUUUUCUUUCUUUUUUUUUUUUUUUGAGACGGAGCGUCGCUCUUUCUCCCAGGCUGGAGUGCAAUGGCGCUAUCUCGGCUCACUGCAACCUCCACCUCCCGGGUUCAAGCUAUUCUCAUGUCUCAGCCUGGGACUGAGUAGCUGGGACUACAGGUGCCUGCCACCAUGCUCAGCUAAUUUUUGUAUUUUUAGUAGAGAUGGGGUUUCACCAUGUUGGUCAGGUUGGCCUCGAACUCCUGAUCUCAGGUGAUGCUUUUCCCAAGUUUAAUUUCUCUCCAUUUGACCUUUUAAGGAUGUGAAUUGGCUUUAAGCAGUAGACUCCCUUUAGUACGGCACUGUGAGCCUCUCAGUGAAUCUGCUACAUCCAUUCCACCCACGGGUCUGGAAACUUGUCUGUUUACCUUUCCCUAAAAACCUAAGAUAUAUUUUUAAGAAGUGCCUUGUAACUUUUCAUAUAGCCUUUCCCCUACUUUGGGUAGACUGUUUCUUACAGGAAUUUGGUAGAUCUUUCCAAAGAGAAUUCUGUAUCUCUAUUUUUAAAGCAUAAAUCCUGUCAACUUUGGAGGAGAACUGAUUUGGCUUGAGUUUUCUCAGACAUGGGAACUUUUGACCUAAGUUUGUAUUUUACAUUGUUGAAAGGGAACUCCGGGAUCCCAGAAAACAUAUGGACUGCAAUUGGGUAAAGUUUCUGUUUGAGUACUUAUUCCUACUUACUAGCCGUUUAAUCUUGGUCAAGUCAGCCAUGUGGCUCUCAACUUCCUCAUCUGUAACAUAAAAGGAUUAGAGUAGACAAUCUCUAACAAAUGCUAUAAUACCACUGACAAAUAAUAAUAUUAGCUAAUAUGUGUAAGGCACUGUGUUUAGUGCUUUUUCCCUUAAUACAAUAGCUUUGAGAUAUAAUUUAUAUACCAUACAAUUUACUUCUUAAAAAAGUACACAAUUCAGUAAUUUUAGUAGAUAGGAGUAACCAUCACCACAGUCAAUUCUAGAAUAUUUUUAUACAUCAGAAGAAACCCUUUACCCAUUAUCAAUUACUUUCCAUUCCUCCUAACUCCCUCCCAGCCCUAGGCAACU